rnacentral:rRNA from 1 species
UCGGAUGGAAUCUUGUUAAUUUAGCGGCGGACGGGUGAGUAACGCGUGAGCGACCAACCUUGCACAGGGGGAUAACGGACCGAAAGGUUCACUAAUACCGCAUGAGACCACGGUGUUGCAUGACACAGAGGUCAAAGGAGCAAUCCGGUGCAAGACGGGCUCGCGUCCGAUUAGGUAGUUGGAGGGGUAACGGCCCACCAAGCCUAUGAUCGGUAGCCGACCUGAGAGGGUGAUCUGCCACAUUGGAACUGAGACACGGUCCAGACUCCUACGGGAGGCAGCAGUGGGGAAUUUUGGACAAUGGGGGCAACCCUGAUCCAGCCAUGCCGCGUGAGUGAAGAAGGCCUUCGGGUUGUAAAGCUCUUUCGGCCGGGAAGAAAUCGCAUAGGUUAAUACCCUGUGUGGAUGAC